rnacentral:rRNA from 1 species
GAUGAACGCUGGCGGCGUGCCUAAUACAUGCAAGUCGAGCGAACGGACGAGACGCUUGCUUUUCUGAUGUUAGCGGCGGACGGGUGUGUAACAUGUGGAUAACCUACCUAUAAGACUGGGAUCACUUCGGGAAACCGGAGCUAAUACCGGAUGAUAUUUUGAACCGCAUGGUUCAAAAGUGAAAGACGGUCUUGCUGUCACUUAUAGCUGGAUCCGAGCUGCGUUAGCUAGUUGUUAAGUUAACGGCUUACCAAGGCAACGAUGCAUGGCCGACGUGAGAGAGUGAUAGACCACACUGGAACUGAGACACCGUCCAUGCUACUACGAGAGGCCGCAGUAGGGAAUCUUCCGCAACAGGCGAAAGCCUGACGGAGCGAGGCCGCGUGUGUGAUGAAGGUCUUCGGAUCGUAAAACUCUGUUAUUAGGGGAGAACAUAUUUGUAAGUAACUGUGCACAGAGUGACGGUACCUAAUCAGAAAGCCACGGCUAACUACGUG